GGAGAGGUGGCCGAGUGGCUGAAGGCGUGCGCCUGCUAAGCGUAUGUGUCGUUUAAGCGGCACCGAGGGUUCGAAUCCCUCCCUCUCCGCCA
rnacentral:tRNA from 1 species